UGCCCAGCAACUCCUAUCCUUACCGCCGCGUGGCACCGGCCGGGUUGCGAGCGACCUUAGGGAAAAUCGGGUAACCAACCCCGGUGAGAACUUUGGUCGCAGGCUGACAGGGAAGG
rnacentral:ribozyme from 1 species